rnacentral:lncRNA from 1 species
CCCAAACAAUGUUUUCAAGUCAAAGAAUCAUACCAAUCACAACCAGAACCGCAAGGCUCACCGGAACCCCAUCCGCAAGCCCAAGGUGCUGAUUCAUGCAUCUAUGGGAGG